AGGUGCGACCAUACCGUGUUGAAAAUUCUGCAUCCCGUCCGAUCUGCAAAGACAAGCAACACAGGGCCCAGUCAGUAGUGCGGUGGGUGACCACGUGCGAAUACUGUGGUGUUGCACUU
rnacentral:rRNA from 1 species